GACGAACGCUGGCGGCGUGCUUAACACAUGCAAGUCGAACGGAAAGGCCUCUUUCGGGGGGUACUCGAGUGGCGAACGGGUGAGUAACACGUGAGUAGCCUGCCCUUGACUUUGGGAUAACUUCAGGAAACUGGGGCUAAUACCGGAUAGGAGCUCCUGCUGCAUGGUGGGGGUUGGAAAGUUUCGGCGGUUGGGGAUGGACUCGCGGCUUAUCAGCUUGUUGGUGGGGUAGUGGCUUACCAAGGCUUUGACGGGUAGCCGGCCUGAGAGGGUGACCGGCGACAUUGGGACUGAGAUACGGCCCAGACUCCGACGGGAGGCAGCAGUGGGGAAUAUUGCACAAGGGGUGGAAGCCUGAUGCAGCAACGCCGUGUGCGGGAUGACGGCCUUCGGGUUGUAAACCGCUUUCGCUCAUGACGAAGCUUUGUGUGACGGUAGUGGGUAAAGAAGCACCGGCUAACUACGUG
rnacentral:rRNA from 1 species